AUGGGGUGUGACUGGAGAAGAACUGGCUGCAAUGAGGCUGUGACCCACCAUGGAGCCCACCAAAGGGCUUCGUGUACCAAGGGUCCGGCCCGUCACCUCAGGAAGCCCGUGAUGAGCACAGCCAGCACCUGUAGGAUGUUCCGCCAUGGGAGGGGAAAACAAACCUGGGGUGGAGGGGAGGAGGCAUCACCAAAGCCUCCGGCUGCCACGUCUUGUUUUGCAGCACUUCCAGGCUGCUGCGUGCCACCCACGCACCCAGGCAGCCCCAGCACCCAUGGACGGCUGCUGGCACACCCAAAACAGCACAGCAGAGCACGGCAUGGCACCCUAUGGCCUCAGGGCCAAGCACCCACACCCUGUCCCGCAGGGGAUCGCACAGACCAAAGGUCCUGGAGACCUCUGCACCCUGGGCAGCUCCCGCUUUUAUUGCAGUACUUCCAUAAUUUUGCUCUGCACAUCUGCAUUAGAUCCAUACUUUUCCUCACCAGAUCUGUGUUUUUCCCCACUAGAGCCACACUUUUCCUCAGCACGCCCACAUUUAGCCCUGUAAAGCUGUGUUUUACCACCACAGAGCUGACUUUUACCUCAGCAAACUGGCAGCGCACCCAUGCCACUGCUUCCCCUUUGGGCAGACGGCUCCUGCCAUGUGAGAACAUGGCGCCUUCCCUCCCCAUCCCCGCCUGCCUUCCCCCUGCCCAGUUUGAGGCAGCAAUGGUGAAUUUAGCAACAAACGCCAUGGCGGGAGGCCUCGAUGCCUGGCAGCCCCAUCCCCACUGCCAUUGCCCUCGCCACCGGCUUGCGGCGCCAUCUUGGCUCCCCUCAGCCGCCCACAGCCGCCAUCUGGCGAGGCCGCUGGGCCCCCUCUCACCGCCUCGCCAUUGCCAGCACUUUGAGAUUGACUUUUUUGUGUUUGUGACAAGCUGCUGGCGGCAAAUACACCGCCUCGGAAACACUGCGUGGGCGGCGGACGGCUCCCCUCCCCGCUUCUCUCUUUCUGGCCGCCCGGCCGGCAGGCAGGCAUGCGCGCUCACCAGGGUGGCCGUGAUGGUCUCUCGUGGGUCUGGGCAGCGAGAGCAAGAACAAAACCACCUUUUUUUGGCGCCAAGAUAUUUAUCUAACUCUUCUUUAGACAGCCUCAGCCUGCACCUCACUGAGGUGGCUGGUGCUGCCCGCACUGCUGCUGCAGCCCUCAGCAGCACUGCCCUCCUCGACAGCCCAAGAAGCGCUGCGAAGGUCACACCACUCUUUUUUUUUAUUUUAGUGAAAGAAAGAGAAAACGUGCUGGUUUGCACUUUGGGAAGCAAUGAGAGGCCCUGA
ensembl:lncRNA